UUAAUUUGAGAGUUUGAUCCUGGCUCAGGACGAACGCUGGCGGCGUGCCUAAUACAUGCAAGUCGAACGAACUCUGGUAUUGAUUGGUGCUUGCAUCAUGAUUUACAUUUGAGUGAGUGGCGAACUGGUGAGUAACACGUGGGAAACCUGCCCAGAAGCGGGGGAUAACACCUGGAAACAGAUGCUAAUACCGCAUAACAACUUGGACCGCAUGGUCCGAGCUUGAAAGAUGGCUUCGGCUAUCACUUUUGGAUGGUCCCGCGGCGUAUUAGCUAGAUGGUGGGGUAAUGGCUCACCAUGGCAAUGAUACGUAGCCGACCUGAGAGGGUAAUCGGCCACAUUGGGACUGAGACACGGCCCAAACUCCUACGGGAGGCAGCAGUAGGGAAUCUUCCACAAUGGACGAAAGUCUGAUGGAGCAACGCCGCGUGAGUGAAGAAGGGUUUCGGCUCGUAAAACUCUGUUGUUAAAGAAGAACAUAUCUGAGAGUAACUGUUCAGGUAUUGACGGUAUUUAACCAGAAAGCCACGGCUAACUACGUGCCAGCAGCCGCGGUAAUACGUAGGUGGCAAGCGUUGUCCGGAUUUAUUGGGCGUAAAGCGAGCGCAGGCGGUUUUUUAAGUCUGAUGUGAAAGCCUUCGGCUCAACCGAAGAAGUGCAUCGGAAACUGGGAAACUUGAGUGCAGAAGAGGACAGUGGAACUCCAUGUGUAGCGGUGAAAUGCGUAGAUAUAUGGAAGAACACCAGUGGCGAAGGCGGCUGUCUGGUCUGUAACUGACGCUGAGGCUCGAAAGUAUGGGUACAAACAGGAUUAGAUACCCUGGUAGUCCAUACCGUAAACGAUGAAUGCUAAGUGUUGGAGGGUUUCCGCCCUUCAGUGCUGCAGCUAACGCAUUAAGCAUUCCGCCUGGGGAGUACGGCCGCAAGGCUGAAACUCAAAGGAAUUGACGGGGGCCCGCACAAGCGGUGGAGCAUGUGGUUUAAUUCGAAGCUACGCGAAGAACCUUACCAGGUCUUGACAUACUAUGCAAAUCUAAGAGAUUAGACGUUCCCUUCGGGGACAUGGAUACAGGUGGUGCAUGGUUGUCGUCAGCUCGUGUCGUGAGAUGUUGGGUUAAGUCCCGCAACGAGCGCAACCCUUAUUAUCAGUUGCCAGCAUUAAGUUGGGCACUCUGGUGAGACUGCCGGUGACAAACCGGAGGAAGGUGGGGAUGACGUCAAAUCAUCAUGCCCCUUAUGACCUGGGCUACACACGUGCUACAAUGGAUGGUACAACGAGUUGCGAACUCGCGAGAGUAAGCUAAUCUCUUAAAGCCAUUCUCAGUUCGGAUUGUAGGCUGCAACUCGCCUACAUGAAGUCGGAAUCGCUAGUAAUCGCGGAUCAGCAUGCCGCGGUGAAUACGUUCCCGGGCCUUGUACACACCGCCCGUCACACCAUGAGAGUUUGUAACACCCAAAGUCGGUGGGGUAACCUUUUAGGAACCAGCCGCCUAAGGUGGGACAGAUGAUUAGGGUGAAGUCGUAACAAGGUAGCCGUAGGAGAACCUGCGGCUGGAUCACCUCCUUUCUAAGGAA
rnacentral:rRNA from 1 species